ACUCUAGUCUAGAGAGCACAUUCUCUGCUCAAUUGCCCGGGGAAGCCACUAGAUACAGAUGCUGGAGAAUUUGGGCUGGUUUCUUCUGCAUUUUAACAAUCACUGGGGCUUUCUUUGGUUCCUUCUUUAUUUGAGUGAGGUUGAGAUCAUCUUUCUAUCAUGUCUCUGAAUUCAGUGAUGCCCACAUUUAUCCAUGUUUGAAAAGACACAGACAUCAAUCUGGGUCUUACUCUGUCAUGCAGGAUGGAGGCUGGAGUCCAGUGGCACAAUUGCAGCUCACUGCACCCUCAAACUCCUGGGCUCAAGGAGGCCUCCCAUCUCACCCUCCCGGAUAUCUGGGACUACAGGCAUGCACCAUCAUACCUGGCUAAUUUUUUGUGUUUUUUGUAGAGACGGGGUUUCUCCAUGUUGGCCAGGCUGGUCUUGAACUCCUAGGUUCAAGCAAUUCUCCUGCCUCAGCCUCCCAAAGUGUUGGGAUUACAGGUGUGAGCCACUGUCCCAGCCUGCUGCUUUUUUAGAAAGAGGAGAGAAGGAUGGUCUAAAACUCCCAUUUUUUCUUGUCAUUCACCUGGCAACUCAGAGUCAGGAGGAAGAUGGAAGCUUUGAGGUGAGGUUCUGCUGCCCCACCCUGAGUUCCUCAGGGGUCACCUUCAUCUCACCCUUCCCAUUAGUUCCGGGUCCCCAGACUGAAGACAGAAGUUCCUGGAGUCAGUUCUCAAAAGACUGAGUUCUCAAGAGAGAGGCCCAAAAAAAAGAGAAUCAGAACCUGGAACACUUCUCCCCAUCCCUGUUCUGCCCCUCAUAGGAAUUAAACAAGAUGGAAAUGGGCAAUGCUUCUUACCCACUGGUGAUAAUAUGAGAUGCCACAGAAGAAAUGUUGGGGUUUUUUGGAGGCAAAAUUUGUUGGGUCUUCACUUUGUAAAAGUUGAUGGCAUCCCUAUUUUUAGACUGUUCUUGGAGACAACACCAGGCUUGUCUACCUCAUACAGCUGUGAUGGUCACCUGGGGCUGAGAGAGAAGAGCUUGCCUUCAGCUCUUAAUGAAAGCCAGCUUUGACUUCUUGAAGCUGAAGGGUCAGGCAGAGCUACGUAGUGGUAUUGCACACAUCACCAUCUUCAGUUUCCUAAAAUCUAUCUUUACAAAAAAAGAGCGACUCAGCAGGGGCUCAACAUGUAAUAGAGUCCACUAAAGAACAUGUCUGAGGCUUGCAUUUUUCAGCCCUCUCCUUUCCCCCACCAUUCUACCUACCAGCCAUGGGCUAUAGUGCUUGGGGUUAUGCAGGUGCCAUAGGGUAAAAAUCUUCCCACUCAGGUUUCAGGAAAAAAAAUGACAAGAAACUUUACGUGUCCCAAAUACGGAACUAGAGUUUGGGGUUCUAAGUUCAGAAGGGUAAGAAGCGAUCUCCAUGGCCCUGAAUAUUUUGGAAGGAAAUAGGCUUCCUACUUUCCCAAAAUCUCCUUUUAUUCCCAGUGUGGGUGAGGGAAGAGCACUGCUCUCAAUUCGUAGCUUAGCCUUUAGGAACAUGGACAGUCAGGUCAGCAGCCAGCUGCUCUUUCCCUCUCCAGAGCAGCAAGGAGUCUAGGACUCCAGCUCUGUUUCUGCAGACAGGGACUGGAGGCCAAAGGGUGGGCAGAGCAGGGGCAAGGUCUCAGCACACCCAGGGGUCGAUGGAGAACAAACGUAUCACUAGGCUGAGAAAGGAGAGAAAGGAAAAAAAGAUCUCAGCGUAUGUUCAAGCAGUACUCAGCUCUUUGUUUAUCCACAAGAAGAACUGGAUUCCAAGCCAGGGACAUAAAAAUUAACCCAUGGCCUGGGUCACUUUGCCCCUACCUGCCACUCAUACCAAGGCAGCCCAGCUCUGAAAGCGUUGAGAGAUGACAUGUUUUGCAGGAAACAGUGACUCUCUGGAUGUUAAAAAAUCUAGCCAUUGCCCAGUGGACACAGUGUCAGGGAGCCUUAAGAAAGCUGGUGUUUGGGGGUACUGCCAAGGAGGAUCAUCGAGUGGGCAUGACAAGCCCAAGAGUCAAGGUGACUGCUGCUUAAAGAUAUUCCAUGUCUGUGGGGUCCACCCGUCUUGGGACAAGUCUUGAACUGAAAGAGAAUUCUCCUUCCUGAGUGGGGACAUUAGAAAAAGGAAGGCCCUCCCCAUGGAGACUCUGCAUGAGGCCUGGCUUGGUGACAUAAUUGCGGGGCAAAGGGAUCACAAGCUUUCACCGAUGGGUUAAUGGGGCAGCCACACAGUACCAAGAGAAUGAGUCAGUGGGGAAAAAUGUGAAAGUUGAGGGUGUGGGAAACAAGAAAAAUCAAUGAAGAGGGCAAAGGAUGUCCAAUUUUGUGGGAAGGAAAGAAUUGUUUCCAUUGUUGCUAAUCAUGACAUCCCCUCAUCAAAUACACACACACACACACACACUCUCUCUCUCUCACACUCACUGCCUGACACAGGCUGCUCCUGCUUGUGAAUGAGGAGGUCUAUCUGGCAUAAAAGGGUGCUAUAGGUACAGAGAGAAGCAUAUUUUUGAAUACAAAGACAAUGUCUGCACUGAGGUCUUCAUGCCUGGCACCUCCUUUCUUGGUUGGUGAAAAGAUUUUUAAAUAUUCAAUCACUUCAGGGAACACUAAUGACUGCCCAUCUAUUGUGAGCAGUAGGGAAAAUCUUCCACUAGGAUAAGCCAGAAAGUGGUAUUUAAGUGAAACAUAAAAUAUGCUCUGAAGAUGAAGAAAUAAGAGAUGGUCUGUUUCAUUUUCUCAAAAGAAAUGCAGCACUCUAGUGUCUUUACACCAUCCAUGUCCCACAAGCCCAUAGCCUGGUGACCAUGGUCUUCAACCCAAACUUGGUGCUGUUGAUGCUGUUGAUGCGGAAUUGAAGACAGAGAAGCAGACAUUUUUAAGUCAGAAGCACACUUCAGAAGUUUUAGUUUGUAACUAUUGUUUAUUUCUGGAAAUCAUUUGGAAGAUAUUAUUUUACUUUUUGUCUCUCCCAAUUCCAAAUUGUUUGCAUUAUAAUUUUCUUUAAACAGGAAAAUAAAAUCAUAAUUUUAGAAAAGUG